AGUGAACGCUGGCGGUAGGCCUAGCACAUGCAAGUCGAACGGCAGCACAGUAAGAGCUUGCUCUUACGGGUGGCGGGUGGCGGACGGGUGAGGAAUACAUCGGAAUCUACUUUUUCGUGGGGGAUAACGUAGGGAAACUUACGCUAAUACCGCAUACGACCUACGGGUGAAAGCAGGGGAUCUUCGGACCUUGCGCGAUUGAAUGAGCCGAUGUCGGAUUAGCUAGUUGGCGGGGUAAAGGCCCACCAAGGCGACGAUCCGUAGCUGGUCUGAGAGGAUGAUCAGCCACACUGGAACUGAGACACGGUCCAGACUCCUACGGGAGGCAGCAGUGGGGAAUAUUGGACAAUGGGCGCAAGCCUGAUCCAGCCAUACCGCGUGGGUGAAGAAGGCCUUCGGGUUGUAAAGCCCUUUUGUUGGGAAAGAAAAGCAGCAGGUUAACACCCCGCUGUCUGACGGUACCCAAAGAAUAAGCACCGGCUAACUUCGUG
rnacentral:rRNA from 1 species